GACGAACGCUGGCGGCGUGCCUAAUACAUGCAAGUCGAACGAGAGCGACCGGUGCUUGCACUGGUCAAUCUAGUGGCGAACGGGUGAGUAACACGUGGGUAACCUGCCCAUCAGAGGGGGAUAACAUCCGGAAACGGAUGCUAAAACCGCAUAGGUCUUCGAACCGCAUGGUUUGAAGAGGAAAAGAGGCGCAAGCUUCUGCUGAUGGAUGGACCCGCGGUGCAUUAGCUAGUUGGUGAGGUAACGGCUCUCCAAGGCCGUGAUGCAUAGCCGACCUGAGAGGGUGAUCGGCCACAUUGGGACUGAGACACGGCCCAAACUCCUACGGGAGGCAGCAGUAGGGAAUCUUCCGCAAUGGACGCAAGUCUGACGGAGCAACGCCGCGUGAGUGAAGAAGGUUUUCGGAUCGUAAAACUCUGUUGUUAGAGAAGAACAAGUGCUAGAGUAACUGUUAGCGCCUUGACGGUAUCUAACCAGAAAGCCACGGCUAACUACGUG
rnacentral:rRNA from 1 species